AUUGAACGCUGGCGGCAGGCCUAACACAUGCAAGUCGAGCGGAUGAAGGGAGCUUGCUCCUGGAUUCAGCGGCGGACGGGUGAGUAAUGCCUAGGAAUCUGCCUGGUAGUGGGGGAUAACGUCCGGAAACGGGCGCUAAUACCGCAUACGUCCUGAGGGUGAAAGUGGGGGAUCUUCGGACCUCACGCUAUCAGAUGAGCCUAGGUCGGAUUAGCUAGUUGGUGGGGUAAAGGCCUACCAAGGCGACGAUCCGUAACUGGUCUGAGAGGAGGAUCAGUCACACUGGAACUGAGACACGGUCCAGACUCCUACGGGAGGCAGCAGUGGGGAAUAUUGGACAAAGGGCGAAAGCCUGAUCCAGCCAUGCCGCGUGUGUGAAGAGGGUCUUCGGAUUGUAAAGCACUUUAAGUUGGGAGGAAGGGCAGUAAGUUAAUACCUUGCUGUUUUGACGUUACCAACAGAAUAAGCACCGGCUAACUUCGUG
rnacentral:rRNA from 1 species